GAUGAACGCUGGCGGCGUGCCUAAUACAUGCAAGUCGAGCGAACAGAUGAGGAGCUUGCUCCUCUGACGUUAGCGGCGGACGGGUGAGUAACACGUGGAUAACCUACCUAUAAGACUGGGAUAACUUCGGGAAACCGGAGCUAAUACCGGAUAAUAUAUUGAACCGCAUGGUUCAAUAGUGAAAGACGGUUUUGCUGUCACUUAUAGAUGGAUCCGCGCCGCAUUAGCUAGUUGGUAAGGUAACGGCUUACCAAGGCAACGAUGCGUAGCCGACCUGAGAGGGUGAUCGGCCCCACUGGAACUGAGACACGGUCCAGACUCCUACGGGAGGCAGCAGUAGGGAAUCUUCCGCAAUGGGCGAAAGCCUGACGGAGCAACGCCGCGUGAGUGAUGAAGGUCUUCGGAUCGUAAAACUCUGUUAUUAGGGAAGAACAAAUGUGUAAGUAACUAUGCACGUCUUGGCGGUACCUAAUCAGAAAGCCACGGCUAACUACGUG
rnacentral:rRNA from 1 species